UCCAGUCUGAGGUCCCGUGGCUCGUUGAUCUUAUUAAACAGCCAGCAGGGGGCGAUCUACCUGUGGCAUGGCUGCAAAGCCCACAGCAAAGCACGUCAGGUGGCCAAGCAGAUGGUCCAACGCCUCACACAAAUGUCCCCGCCUGAGCUGAGUCUAAGAACUGGCAGCUUUAUGAAAGUCCAGGAAGUGGAGGAGGGGAAAGAGCCAUCAGAUUUCUGGAAUGCUAUUGGACCAGAGGUCAGGAAGUCAUAUGACUGCAAGGUGUGAUAUCCUGGUAAAUUUAAUUUUACGCCACGCAUUUAUCACCUGAGUGCCCAAUCAGGAACUUUCGAAGGGGUGGAGCUUAUUAGCCCCUCCCAUCUAAAUGGUGUCAUUACAGCAAUGCCCUUCCUUCAGGAUAAGU